rnacentral:rRNA from 1 species
GACGUAGGGCGCGAGCGUUGUCCGGAUUUAUUGGGCGUAAAGAGCUCGUAGGCGGCUUGUCGCGUCGUCCGUGAAAACUUGGGGCUCAACCCCAAGCUUGCGGUCGAUACGGGCAGACUAGAGUGCGGUAGGGGAGACUGGAAUUCCUGGUGUAGCGGUGAAAUGCGCAGAUAUCAGGAGGAACACCGGUGGCGAAGGCGGGUCUCUGGGCCGUAACUGACGCUGAGGAGCGAAAGCGUGGGGAGCGAACAGG